GACCCACUCGUUCCCAUCCCGAACACGACCGUUAAGCCCUCCAGCGCCGAUGGUACUUGGGGCGAAGGCCCCCGGGAGAGUAGGACGUUGCCAGGC
rnacentral:rRNA from 1 species